rnacentral:rRNA from 1 species
UACGUAGGUGGCAAGCGUUUUCCGGAUUUACUGGGUGUAAAGGGCGCGUAGGCGGGAUAGCAAGUCAGAUGUGAAAUCUAUGGGCUUAACCCAUAAACUGCAUUUGAAACUGUUAUUCUUGAGUAUCGGAGAGGCAGGCGGAAUUCCUAGUGUAGCGGUGAAAUGCGUAGAUAUUAGGAGGAACACCAGUGGCGAAGGCGGCCUGCUGGACGACAACUGACGCUGAGGCGCGAAAGCGUGGGGAG